rnacentral:RNase_P_RNA from 1 species
GAGAGUAGGCGUAGGCGGUUGCAGAUUAGCCCAGAGGUGGCUAGUUUGAGGAAAGUCCGGGCUUCCGAAAGACCAAACUUGCUGGGUAACGCCCAGUGCGAGCGAUCGCGAGGAUAGUGCCACAGAAAAAUACCGCCUUCUUUCAGUGAACAGUGAACAGUUAUCAGUGAACAGUAAAUAACUGAUAACUGAUAACUGAUAACUGAUAACUGAAAAGGGUAAGGGUGCAAAGGUGCGGUAAGAGCGCACCAGCAACAUCGAGAGGUGUUGGCUCGGUAAACCCCGGUUGGAAGCAAGGCGAAUGGAACUAUGGUUGGUCUUUUACCAGUUCCACAAUAAGAGCCGCUAGAGGCGUCUGGUAACAGUCGUCCCAGAUAGAUAACCGCCCUCUUGAUUUAAGAGAACAGAACCCGGCUUACUACCAACUCUUUCCC